CAUUGAUGGACUAUAUAGUUGCCUUAGGGCCUUAGGAUGACUAUGAACCUUUGUUUAGAUUCAACACGAGCCUAGUGUUGAAUCUCGGUCUAGGGAUGGUGAUUGAUUUUAGUUACGCGUUUAAUCACAUUAAGGCGUGUUGUUCCUAGGGGCGUUGGACCCAACUACUCCAAUUUCAUGCAUAUCAAAUAAAACAAGAAAAGGAGUACUUUAAAGUAAAGAAGAGCUUAUGCUCUUUUACAACAAUUGAUCAAAAUAAAUUACUUUAAAGUAAAGAAGAGCAUAUGCUCUUUUACAACAUUUGAUCAAAUCAAAUUACAACCAAAAUCUAAUCUACACAUUCCCAUGGUUCAAACAAAUUUGAAACGGCCUUUCACAUAGCUCAAUUAUAUUAGGCUUAGGUUCAUAAUCACCCUUUCUUUAAUCAAUUAACACUUUAACCAAUUAAACUUGAAUGCAACAUUUUCAUUUGGUUUUUGUAUCCAUAGAAUUGAUUUAAAUGGAGCUAAAUGAAAUGAAAAUCCAAUUCUCAUUUAAAGAGAAAAAACCAUUUUGUUCUCAACCUAAUUUGGGCCAAAAUGCAAUAACCUCAACCUUUGGGCUAUGUUGCAAAACUUAAACUUUUGAGCUCACUUUGUAAAAACACAAAAGUCCACUACUUCAUGUAAUUACAACUAGAACUCAAAAAUUUCAAUAAAUUGAAAAACUUCAUUAAAGGAACAAAACAAUUUGUCCUUUAAUUAUUUUGGGCCUUUACGUAAUAACGUAAACUUUUGGGUCAAACUUGCAAAUACACAAAAGUACCAAAACUUUAUGUAAUUGCAUAAAAGCCCCAAAAGCACCCCACUUGAGGGAGGGCCGGUUUUGGGAGAGGAGUCCACAAAAAUUUUGAAAAUUUUUUCAAAGUCAUAAAGCCUUGCAAGUGGUGCAAGAUAAGUGUGACAUUAAUUCUUGCAAGUGGUGCAUGACAUAAAGUCAUGCAAGUGAUGUGUGUGUAAGAGAAGUACUUCUUACACACCCAUCACCAUUUCUAUCACCUUACACAAUUUCUAUCACAUUAAAACAUUUGAAAAAGCACAAAACAAAGACUUUAUGAAAUAAAUCAAAACUUUGAAUUAAAACACGAAACUUUUUGUUCUUGGCUAAAAUGUCAAGAACAAUGAAGAACAUUCAUGAAAAACCCAUAAGAGCUCCAUGAACAUUUUUCAUCCAAAGAAAUCCCAAAACCACUCAAACUAAAGGGAAAUAACAUAUAACCAAACUAGGGUACAUAGGGGUUCCAAAAGUUACUUGAAAACACCUUUAACAAGUCAAACAAGAACCCAAAAAUCCACCCUUUGGAUUUGGCCGAAAAUUCCCAAAAACAUGGCACCAAAUUUUAGCUCCAAUAUUCAUGCUCAUAUCAACUACAUCUACAACAUUUGAGAUGGUAAAUUUUCCAACAAAAUUUACAUUCAAAGAAGCAAGAAUAGAGCUUGUAACAUAUUACAACAUUUAAAUCAAAGACUAUGAACUACAAAACCCAAAAGGAUUCACCAACUACUAGACCUAGGCUCUGAUACCACUUGAAGGAAGAUUUGCAAAAAACAUGUUCAUUUAAGCAACAUCUAUAAGCAUGCAAUUAACAAUUAAAGGCUGAAUCAUGCUUGCAUGCACUUAAAAACAAAACAUUAACCAUGAAAUUCAAAGCCUAGUAGAUUGGUGAACCAAGACUCAACUCAAAUCAAAGUGAGUUGAGAAAUUAUACCUUUGUAGAUUCCUCUUUGCAUAAGCAAAACCUAAUCACCCAAAGAGAGGGCCUUCAUUCCUUGCAUCUUAGAUCUAUGGAUUUGGAUGGAUGAAAUGGUUCUCCAAGUUCUCAAAAUAGAGAACCUCUAAGUCUCCACACCAAUGUUAGAUUUAAGUAGAAAUGAGUGACCUUGGAGGAGUUGGAUUGCUAGCUAAUCCCUCCAAGGGGGCCGGCCUCUUUAGAGAGAAAUGGAGAGACAUGUUCUCUCCAAUUUUCUCCAAAAGAAACCCUUAAUGAAUUUUGGAUAUAAAGUCAUAUUUAUACCUUAAUUCAUUGGAGUGGCAAACUUGUAAAUAAGUCCAAAACCCACUCCAUUUCUAAAUGGCCGGCCAUAGGGAUUCAUUGGACUAUUUGGGCUUUUGUGAAUCAUUAUUCAUUAAGUUGUCAUACAACUUAAGUCAAUGGACUUGACGUUCGAAGCCCAUUGGGUCUUAAGGUCCAAACUAUCCCGAGGUCUUUAACGAACUUAUUCGUUUGAUUAAUUA
rnacentral:lncRNA from 1 species